CUCCUCUGCUGCUGAGCGACUCUUCCUGCUCCCUUGCUUUCUCACGCAGGCCGUUAAGGAUUCCUGAAGAGGCCAGAUCCAAAGAAGUCUGAGAGAAGACCCUGUGGAGAGAGGGCUAGUGAUCUGAGUCGGUCCAGCCAUUCCAGCUGAGCUGCCAGUUGUAGCCACAGGACUGAACCCAGGGUUUGUCUACCAUCGUCCCACUUGCAUGAAUAAAUUGCUUUCUGAAGGCAUGAAGGCUUAGACAAGAAAAACAAGUGGAAAGAGGCCGGUCACAGAAAGCUGAGCAGAUACAAUUUUAAAAAGAAGAAAAGAAUAAAGGAAAAACUUUUUCUUCUUGUGAUGAGAUAAAGGGAGAAUUUCUAUCUUUGUGAAUAUGUUGGGAAGAAAAGAGAGAGGCAUUGAUGCUGUAAGUCUGAUGAACCAGAAAAAUAACAUUACUUCAUCUCUUAAAAAGAAAAAGGAUGGGACUUCCCUGGUGGUGCAGUGGUUAAGAAUCUGCCUGCCAAUGCAGGGGACACGGGUUCAAGCUCUGAUCUGGGAAGAUCCCACACGCUGAGGACCAGCUAAGCCCAUGAGCCACAACUACUGAGCCCACGUGUCACAACUACUGAAGCCUGUGCACCUGCUCCACAACAAGAGAAGCUAUCGCAAUGAGAGGCCCGCGCAGGGCAAUGAAGAGUAGCCCCCGCUCACCGCAACUAGAGAAAGCCUGCGUGCAGCAACGAAGACCCAAAGCAGCCAAAAAUAAAUAAAUUAAUAAUAAUU